rnacentral:rRNA from 1 species
UACGAAGGGGGGCUAGCGUUGCUCGGAAUUACUGGGCGUAAAGCGCACGUAGGCGGAUUGUUAAGUCGGGGGUGAAAUCCUGGAGCUCAACUCCAGAACUGCCUUCGAUACUGGCGAUCUCGAGUUCGGGAGAGGUGAGUGGAACUGCGAGUGUAGAGGUGAAAUUCGUAGAUAUUCGCAAGAACACCAGUGGCGAAGGCGGCUCACUGGCCCGAUACUGACGCUGAGGUGCGAAGCGUGGGGAGCAAACAGG